rnacentral:rRNA from 1 species
UACGUAGGGUGCAAGCGUUGCCCGGAUUUAUUGGGCGUAAAGGGCGCGUAGGCGGUGAGACACGUUUGUUGUGAAAUCGCCCGGCUCAACUGGGCGGGGUCAGCGAAUACGGUCUCACUUGAGCAAGCUAGGGGGCAAUGGAAUUCCCGGUGUAGUGGUGGAAUGCGUAGAUAUCGGGAGGAACACCAGUGGCGAAGGCGGCGACCUGGACGGACAUUGACGCUGAGACGCGAAAGCGUGGGGAGCAAACAGG